AUGCUCCUCGCACCGCCCCUCGCCCCCGCACGCCGGCCCAGCUGCGCGGCAAAACACGCCGGGGCCGCGGCCCGACGGGAGGGGGGACCCCUCUGCUCUGGGGGUCCCUCUGGCCCCGGGGGUCUGUCCUGCCCCCAGCGAUCCGGCGGGGUGAGAAGGUGGAAGGACGCAGAGCAUCCCCAGGUUUUGGGGUGCAGUGGCCCUGGGAGACCCCCAGGACAGCAGGGACAGGAUGGAGGAGAAGCAGCCGCUCUCCUGUCCGGGGGGGGGGGGGGGGGGGGGGGGGGGGGGGGGGGGGGGGGGGGGGGGGGGGGGGGGGGGGGGGGGGGGGGGGGGGGGGGGGGGGGGGGGGGGGGGGGGGGGGGGGGGGGGGGGGGGGGGGCUAAAACUGGUACAGCCCCUCUCAUGUCCCCCAAAACGAGCACAGCCCCUCUCUUGUCCCCCAAAACGAGCACAACCCCUCUCCUGUCCCCCAAAACAGGUACAGCCCCUCUUCUGCCCCCCAGAACCGGCAUAGCCCCUCUCCUGUCCCCUCAAACCGGUACAACCCCUCUCCUGUCCCCCAAAACGAGCACAGCCCCUCUUCUGCCCCCCAAAACGAGCACAGCCCCUCUCCUGCCCCCCAAAACCGGCACAGCCCCUCUCCUGUCCCCCAAAACCGCCGCAGCCCCUCUCCCGGUGCCCCUCGCCGGCGGUGGGAGCCGCCAGCCUGUAAAAGCCAGCGCGAGGAAUAUUUGCUUUCCCAGAGCACCUUCGGAGCGGCAGGGCCGGCACAAAGCAGGAAUUCAAAGCUCGGAGACCAGACCGGGAGCCAGGCCAGAUCACGGCCCCUGUGCAGCCAGUGGGGAAACUGAGGCACGGGGGGGAUGGAGCCGGCCAGCAGCACGGGGUCGCCGCGGCUCUGAUCGACGCUGAGCCGCAUCAGCAGGGCGGCGGCGAUGAUGAGCACCAGCAGCACCACCACGACCACCACGAUCAGCAGGCAGCGCAGGUGGCAGCAGCUCAGGAGCGGGGGGGGGGGGGAUCUCAGAGGCUUCAACGACCCCUCCCCCCGGGCAUCGGGGGGUCCCUGCUGACGGCAUUUGGGGGGAUCCGCACUCACGGUGUCGCCGCGGCUCUGAUCGACGCUGAGCCGCAUCAGCAGGGCGGCGGCGAUGAUGAGCACCAGCAGCACCACCACGACCACCACGAUCAGCAGACAGCGCAGGUGGCAGCAGCUCAGGAGCUUGCGGGGCAGGUAGCAGAGCAGCCGAGGGACGAAGCACAGCGACUUCAUGAGGCAGCCGGAGCAGCUGCCGCAGCCGGGACACUUGGGGCACUUGGGGCACUUGGGGCACCGGCAGCACUUGGGCAGGCAGCAGCACCUGGCGCAGCACAUGCCGCACCUGGUGCAGCAUUUGGCGCAGCACACGCUGCAUCUGGUGCAGCAUUUGGCGCAGCACGUGGCGCAGGGCAGGCAGCAGCCCGGGCAGCAGCAGCCGUUCCCCGAGUCCUGGGGGUGCGGGGAAGUGUGGGGAGGUGCGGUUAGGGGGGUGCAGGUGGGAGCUGGGGGAUGCAGGAGGUUGAGGUGGGGUUGCAGCUGCUUUUGGGCACUGGGAAUGCAGCACCCCAUGGUCAAACCCCCAUCCCGGGCACUGGGAAUGGAGCAUCCCAUGGUCCAAACCCCCAUCCCGGGCACUGGGAAUGGAGCACCCCAUGGUCCAAACCCCCAUCCCGGGCACUGGGAAUGGAGCACCCCAUGGUCCAAACCCCCAUCCUGGGCACUGGGAAUGCAGCACCCCAUGGUCCAAACCCCCAUCCCGUGCCUUGCUGGGAUAAACUGGGUGCUGAGCUGGCUGCAGGGACACCGUGGUGCUGCAGGGACUCACCUCCUCUUCAAACACCACCUGCUUCAUGCUGCUCUCCAUGGCUGCCUCCUCCUCCUCCUCCUCUUCCUCCUCUUCCUCCUUCUCCUCCCAUUCCCAACCCAGCCUGGCUGCUGGGACUGGGAAUUUUAUACUGGGGCACUGGGGUGUGGACUGGAGUGGCCCCUGUGAAGGGUUUGGUGGCCCUGGCAUGUGACCCACUCCACUGGUGUUUGCUGAGCUCCCACUUCCAGCUGGACCCUGCUGGGAACCUGCUGCUCGAGAGGCUCUGAGGGCUCUGGGUCAAGGGUCCUUGUCCUUCUCUGCUGCCCAGGAGCGAGGUGCCAG
rnacentral:lncRNA from 1 species